rnacentral:rRNA from 1 species
CGCGUAGGCGGCCGAUCAAGUCGGAGGUGAAAUCCCUCGGCUCAACUGAGGAAUUGCCUUCGAUACUGUUCGGCUUGAGUCCUGGAGAGGGUAGCGGAAUUCCCGGUGUAGCGGUGAAAUGCGUAGAGACCGGGAAGAACACCAGUGGCGAAGGCGGCUACCUGGACAGGUACUGACGCUGAAGCGCGAAAGCUAGGGGAGCAAACA